CAAAUUAAUGGUCAAGAUUACACCUAAUUAAUUAUUAAUCUCGUUUUUCUUUUUUCUGAAUAAGCUAAAAAAUCAAUUAAAAAUUCGAAGAGUAUCUGACAAUUUCCUUAUUCAAUGAACUGUCAUUCCUAAAUUAACGUCAGUAAUUAAGGAAUUCUCUCUCCCUCCCCACGACUUUUGCAAACCACCUCCACUCACUUCAGAAACCCUAUAGCAGACACAAAUUCAUCUCUCUUCACACCGCCUGAGUCCGGCGCUUCUGUGCACUUUCGUCGCGAGCAUCUGAAGGCGUCGCGGCGUGCCCUGAUUUCAUCCACUCGUCAGUACGGCCUCUGUCUAAAAAUGAUGCCGCCGUCGGGACUGUAGGCUGUCACCGAAGCUGGAUUCAAUCGGAAAUUUUCGUCGAUGCUGGGUCAUGAAAUCAGCGACGAAACUUUGAAGAAGCUUUGUGGAAGCAUUAUCCUCACCAUCAACGAGUAAAAGAAGGAAGACUUCUGGAACAGUAGGAUGCGCAUACGGUAUUGUGCAUCCAUUUUGGCGUGGGAGGAAAAUGAGGCGAAAAAGGCCGUUGUGGACAAAGCUUCACAUACUUUUGGAGAAAUGUACAAGGAUCCAAAAUUCAAUGUAAAUUUGAUGCUACUAGGUUGAAAUUUGGGCACGGAAGAGUCCCAUAAAAAAAACUAUAGUUUUUUGAUGAUUGAAGUCAUUUGAAACAUAUGUUUUGGAUGAUACAAUAAAGUCUGGAUUUUGUGUCAAUUGAUUUUGUUUGACUUCCAUUGGUUUGUGAUGUGAAAUUGUAGAAUUAUAAUCUAUCAGUAAAAUAUCUGCUAGUGAACAUUG